UCCAUUCCACUUUGCCAACCAGGAGGUGCGAUGUGCUGUGGCUACCUGCGGGUAGAUAUCCAGGGGCAUUAAUAAUGACUAUGGUCCAUGUAUAUUGCAGGUUCUCACUUGGUGUGUUUUGAGUACUCUGCCUCUCCAUGAUCUGUGGGAGGACAUGGCCCUAUACCAUAUGAACUAUACAUAAUCUAUGAGCUGCCAUGUUUGAAUGGAGAUAAGGAUGGCUGAGCUGCUCAGCCGUUCUGCCAGACUCUGUGGCCGACGCUUCAGGACAACCAAGUCGAUGUAGAAUUUCACAGGCGAGCGAGGUGGAGAUGGUUGCUGAUGGUCUCUGCCAGAUUUAAGGAGGAACCCCCUGCUGACUCCCUCAGGAAACAUCACACAGGAAGAAGAGAGAGAAAGGGCUCCUCCCUGUGGUGAGGCUACAGCUGUCCGUCUCAAUGAGAGGCCCCUCCAGGAGCAGUCGAGCUGAGCACGCUGGGAUUGGGACAUGCCAGGAAAUCGAGAGUAGAGUGAUACUAGACGGUGGCUGACUUCCAAAUCAAAGAUGUACGUCAAGCCAAAAAUGCACUGGCAACAUUGUCAGUCAUGUAUAGUAAGAUGGGAUGUGUGGUCAUGAGGUAGUACUAAAUUUGUUUAUGUAUCUCUUCCAAAGUUUCGGAGGAUAAGGCGAGUGAUAUUCUAUGUUUGUUAUUGACACCAAAUCCCAUGAAAAUACCAAAAACAACAAUGAAUUGAUCGUAUUGCCUGUGUAACCAAAGCCCAAUAUACUGUAAUGUAGCUUAUUCCUCAGUGCCAAAGACCUCCAAUGUUGUCCAAAAACUAUUAAAUACAUAAAUGAGCCACACAGUAGCACUAGAUGACAUGUUCCUUUAUGCAAAAAAUGUUCCUUUAUGACAAAAAAAAAAAGUAAAAGAGGCUCUUCAGAUGCAAAAAGAAUCAAUUUAUUCUAUCUGCAAAA